rnacentral:rRNA from 1 species
GAAUGGGCUGGAAAGCCCAGCGGCACAGGGUGAUAGCCCCGUAGACGAAAACUUACAUUUGAUGAAAACGAGUAAGGCGGGACACGUGAUAUCCUGUUUGAAUAUGGGGGGUCCAUCCUCCAAGGCUAAAUACUCCUGACUGACCGAUAGAGAACCAGUACCGUGAGGGAAAGGCGAUAAGAACCCCUGUGAGGGGAGUGAAAUAGAACCUGAAACCGUAUACGUACAAGC